AUUGAACGCUGGCGGCAGGCUUAACACAUGCAAGUCGAGCGAGCGGCGGACGGGUGAGAUAUGUCUGGGAAACUGCCUGAUGGAGGGGGAUAACUAGUGAAAACGGGAUCUAAUCCCGCAUACCAUCAGAUGUGCCCAGAUGGGAUUGGCUAGUGGGUGGGGGAAUGGCUCACCUAGGCGACGAUCCCUAGCUGGUCUGAGAGGAUGACCAGCCACACUGGGACUGAGACACGGUCCAGACUCCUACGGGAGGCAGCAGUGGGGAAUAUUGCACAAUGGGCGCAAGCCUGAUGCAGCCAUGCCGCGUGUGUGAAGAAGGCCUGCGGGUUGUAAAGCACUUUCAGCGAGGAGGCGUUACUCACAGAAGAAGCACCGGCUAACUCCGUGCCAGCCGCCGCGGUAAUUC
rnacentral:rRNA from 1 species